CCUACGGGGGGCAGCAGUGGGGGAUAUUGCACAAUGGGGGGAACCCUGAUGCAGCGACGCCGCGUGGGUGAAGGAGCGUUUCGGCGCGUAAAGCCCUAUCGGCAGGGAAGAAGAUGACGGUACCUGGCCAAGAAGCCCCGGCUAACUACGUGCCAGCAGCCGCGGUAAUACGUAGGGGGCAAGCGUUAUCCGGAUUUACUGGGUGUAAAGGGGGCGCAGACGGCAAUGCAAGCCAGGAGUGAAAGCCCGGGGCCCAACCCCGGGACUGCUCGUGGAACUGCAUGGCUGGAGUACAGGAGGGGCAGGCGGAAUUCCUAGUGUAGCGGUGAAAUGCGUAGAUAUUAGGAGGAACACCGGUGGCGAAGGCGGCCUGCUGGACUGUGACUGACGUUGAGGCCCGAAGGCGUGGGGAGCAAACAGGAGUAGAUACCCCUGUAGUC
rnacentral:rRNA from 1 species